rnacentral:rRNA from 1 species
AUUGAACGCUGGCGGCAUGCCUUACACAUGCAAGUCGAACGGUAACGGGCCUUCGGGUGCCGACGAGUGGCGAACGGGUGAGUAAUACAUCGGAACGUGCCCGAUCGUGGGGGAUAACGAGGCGAAAGCUUUGCUAAUACCGCAUACGAUCUACGGAUGAAAGCAGGGGACCGCAAGGCCUUGCGCGGACGGAGCGGCCGAUGGCAGAUUAGGUAGUUGGUGGGAUAAAAGCUUACCAAGCCGACGAUCUGUAGCUGGUCUGAGAGGAUGAUCAGCCACACUGGGAAUUGGGACCGGGCCAGGAUCCUUAGGGAAGGAGCAGUGGGGGAUUUUGGGAAAAGGGGGGAAGGCUUGUCCAGGCAUGGCGGGUGGAAGGUGGAGGCCUUUGGGUUGGUAACUUGUUUUGUACGGAACGAAAAGGCUUCUUUUAAAACCGGAGGGGCAUGACGGGAACGUAAAAAUAAGCAACGGCCAACUACGUG